CGGGAGCCAGGACCCAAGGACAUGGAGGGAACGGUCCCCACCAAGUCCCCAGGGACGUCCCACUGCAGGCCAAGAGCAGACGAGCAGAGUGACCCAGACGGCCUCCAAGCUGGCUUAUUUGCAGGACAGGGAUCUUCCCUGGCCUUCUUCCCCUGCUGACUCUCACCACCCUUCUAGAACGAUCGCCCCCAACCUCAACAGGCACCCGGGUCGCCCCGUGAGGCUCCCAGGCCCAGCCUUGGAAGAAUUCCUGAGCUCCACCUACAGAGCCCACAGUCUCUAGGUGACACUUGGACACUUGGCUCCAUUUGUAUACUUGGAUCCACAACGUUCCACCCGUCGUUUUGGGGUCCACCGACCAUGCUCUCCAGAAUCAAAUGUGAUCACCGCAACGUGGAGGUUCACCCUGUUCCUUCUGACACUUGCUAGUUGACAUU
rnacentral:lncRNA from 1 species